rnacentral:rRNA from 1 species
AAAGGAAUUGACGGGGGCCCGCACAAGCGGUGGAGUAUGUGGUUUAAUUCGACGCAACGCGAAGAACCUUACCAAGCCUUGACAUUGAUCGCAACGGGUAGAGAUACCCGGUUCCUCUUCGGAGGACGAGAAAACAGGUGGUGCACGGCUGUCGUCAGCUCGUGUCGUGAGAUGUUGGGUUAAGUCCCGCAACGAGCGCAACCCCUAUCUUCUGUUACCAGCGAGUUAAGUCGGGGACUCAGGAGAGACUGCCGCAGACAAUGCGGAGGAAGGCGGGGAUGACGUCAAGUCAUCAUGCCCCUUAUGGCUUGGGCUACACACGUACUACAAUGGCUCUUAAUAGAGGGAAGCGAAAGGGCGACCUGGAGCAAACCCCAAAAACAGAGUCCCAGUUCGGAUUGCAGGCUGCAACCCGCCUGCAUGAAGGAGGAAUCGCUAGUAAUCGCAGGUCAGCAUACUGCGGUGAAUACGUUCCCGGGCCUUGCACACACCGCCCGU